GAAAAAAUAUUUUUCGGAUUUUUUUUUAAGAUUAUCUCUUUCAAAUGUUGGCCGCGGCUAUAUCUCAAAUGGUCUAUUCGUUUGCCAAUUCGCGACGACGUUUUUACAUAUCCUCACAGAAAAAAUUAUAACGGUGUGAUAUCCCACAAUCUUGGUGGCCAAUCGACCGGCACAAAACGUGAAAUUCACCGAAGUAUUCUCUCAAUAAAUUCAUUGACUGAUGCGAUGUGUGGAAAGUGGCACCAUAUUGUUCAAAGCAAAUGUCGCUUCAAAUUCGAGCAUCAAAAAGUCACCAGCAAAAUUUUUGAAGAAAAAUGGUUGCUCUUCGUCCCAAAUGCGCCUACUGUGCUUGUCUGUCGGCUUCAGUUCUUUCACAAGCUAUAGCUUGUACGAUUUAAAUUCAAAAUCUCGAUGUAAAAUCAGCUAAGUCGUCGAGUUGCUACGAAGGUGUACAUUCUCAGCAACGGUCGCUAUAUUAUCUUACUUGCGUGAUGGACGGGGUCUGUUCGGCCGAGAAUUAUUGAAUGCUGGAUCUCAAGAUGGGUGAUGGUAUCACGAAUGGCAUGCUCAGUCGACUGAUUAAAUUGACCAUAAGUUGAGCAAAGGACGCGAAACACAUUCUUUCUAGAACGUGAAUUUUCGUAAUAAAGCAAAACAAUUUGUAAACAUUGUUCAGGCGUAAGUCUUUCCAUGGUAAAACGUCUAACAAUGCUGAACAAACAUAACAUGACAGCUUGACACGAUUCACGCAUGAUCUGUCAAGAGAAGACUAUUGAUCAAAGCACUCCUACUUGCAUCGCCCGUUAUAUAUAUAUGUAAGGCGGCCUCAAAAGACAAGUGGCUAGAAUUGCGUACGAAAGGCCAGACUUUGGUUCGACGACCGACCAAAAAAUGGCUUUAGAGAAAAGCGCCAUUUACUUAUGUUAAAAAAUCAAAUAUACAAUCAAUAAAAAAUUUUGGAAUGGAAUUAAGCUCAUUUGAUAUGUUAGUUGCUAGAGCUAAGGGGCGGUUUAUUAAUUCAAUGGGUGUUCUUAAUAAAUUUUAGUGUAUUGAUACUGCAAAAACGUUUAUCAGUUUGUUUUGACCAACUUAUAUCAUUUCAACUUAAUUGAACGUGUGUGAAUCCAGUGAGAUUUUAGGAAAAGGAACUACCAAACGAAGAUAGUAGUUAUAUAUAUCUAAUGCAAAAAGUGAC